rnacentral:tRNA from 1 species
GCCGAGGUAGCUCAGUGGUAGAGCAGAGGACUGAAAAUCCUCGUGUCGUGAGUUCAAUUCUCACCCUCGGCACAA